UCNGAGGUACCAGGAGCAGGAUGAUG
rnacentral:piRNA from 1 species